CAGAGUUUCCUUGUACUGAGCUUAUGCUCUCCACCCACUACUUAGUAAGAACUCCUUAACAACUUAAAGCUUUAUCCCUGUGAGUACCAGAAAAGUGAUCUGAGUAUUUAUUGAGCAGGGAGAACAAACUGCUUGCUCCAGGCAGGGAGAAAGCUUAUGGAAAUGAUAUUAGACCUUCAGCAAAGUGCACAGCUGCAUCAUACAGAACCUGAGACUCAAACUGACAGGCAAAUAAGCCAGAUCACGGAAGGGGCCUCUGUGUGGCAGCUCUGAGCUAUCAAGUGUUGGACAACUAGGCAAAAAGUGCAAUGGAACAGGGCAGAAAAUAACACACUAACUUCAGGCAACUGUUGCUUAUUCAUGGACUGGAAAGAAACAUUUUCCACAGAUGCCAGCUUCUGUCUGCUGUGAUGCUCCACUCUGAGUGAUGCCAUGUUCACCACUGAGCAGUACUGGCAAAGGAGAGCAGCUUCUCAGAAUGAGGUGUGCAGCUGCCAUUCCAGGUGUGCAGCUGCCAUUCCACCUCACAGCAGGGCUGUGUUUGCUGCUCCACAAGCUGCAGAAAAGGCAGAGAGAGAAAGGAACACAGAAAGACACCAAAGCUGAGAUCUUCAAAGUACCCAAACUCCAUCAGGAAAGUUUUUGGUACCUUGCUGGUCUGUGGAUCUGUGGAGUGAGCGGUUCAAUCUACAUCUGCCAUCUCAAGGCUGGUGCCAUAACCACUUGGUUUGAAGGAAGGGAGUAUUCUAUACUUGCUAAUUGA
rnacentral:lncRNA from 1 species